UGAGGAAUAUUGGUCAAUGGGCGAGAGCCUGAACCAGCCAAGUCGCGUGAAGGAAGACUGCCCGCAAGGGUUGUAAACUUCUUUUGUAUGGGAUUAAAGUCACCUACGUGUAGGUGUUUGCAGUUACCAUCCGAAUAAGCAUCGGCUAACUCCGUGCCAGCAGCCGCGGUAAUACGGAGGAUGCGAGCGUUAUCCGGAAUUAUUGGGUUUAAAGGGUGCGUAGGUUGCAAGGGAAGUCAGCGGUGAAAAGCUAUAGCUCAACUAUGGUCUUGCCGUUGAAACUCUCUAGCUAGAGUGUACUGGAGGUACGUGGAACGUGUGGUGUAGCGGUGAAAUGCAUAGAUAUCACACAGAACUCCGAUUGCGCAGGCAGCGUACUACAUUACAACUGACACUGAAGCACGAAAGCGUGGGUAUCAAACAGG
rnacentral:rRNA from 1 species